ACUGGGCGUAAAGAGUUGCGUAGGCGGUUAUGUAAGCGAGUGAUGAAAACUAUCGGUUCAACCGAUAGCCUAUUAUUCGAACUGCAUAACUCGAGAGUAUCAGAGGUCGCUGGAAUUCCUAGUGUAGGAGUGAAAUCCGUAGAUAUUAGGAGGAACACCAAUGGCGUAGGCAGGCGACUGGGAUAUUUCUGACGCUAAGGCACGAAAGCGUGGGGAGCGAACCGGAUUAGAUACCCGGGUAGUCCACGCCGUAAACUAUGGAUGCUAAUUGUUUGGGGUAUCGACCCCUUGAGUAAUAAAGCUAACGCGUUAAGCAUCCCGCCUGUGGAGUACGGCCGCAAGGCUAAAACAUAAAGGAAUUGACGGGGACCCGCACAAGCGGUGGAGGAUGUUCUUUAAUUCGAUGCUAAGCGAAGAACCUUACCAGGGCUUGACAUCCCUUGAAUUUCUCCGAAAGGAGAGAGUGCUUUAUUGAACAAGGUGACAGAUUAUGCAUGGCCGUCGUCAGCUCGUGUCGUGAGAUGUUUGGUUAAGUCCAUCAACGAGCGCAACCCUUAUUGUCAGUUGUAUUUUUCUGGCAAGACUGCCCCGGUAACGGGGA
rnacentral:rRNA from 1 species